rnacentral:lncRNA from 1 species
CAAUACUGCUUCUUUAGCCAAUAACCACACAAAGCAAGACACCUUGUAGGGGAUCUUGGCUUUCCAUAUAUGUUUCCAGGGCCACUUGAGUAGCUGCAGAUUUGGAUGAUUCAACUUCUUGUACACUGCACCUACUUUAAAAAUCCCUUUAUUGUUUCCCAACCUCUGCAAUCUGUCUCCCCCCAUUUCCAGACCACUAAAUUGAUCAAUGCUUCUAAAAAAUUCUGUUACUCUUGGAAUUUCCCAGUCAUUGAGGUGUCUUCUAAAUACAAAAUUCCACCCUUGAGGAGUCCAUAAGUCAGCUAUAGUACUUUGUUGUUUAAGAACUAAAUUGUGGAUGUCAGGGAAGAGAGUCUCCAUAUUUCCUUCUGCAUGCCAAUCAUCCUUCCAAAACCUAGUUUUUAUGCCAUCUACCACUUUGAUCAUGGUGUUAGGUUUGAAUUCAUUCCAAAGUUCUCUAAUGGAUUUCCAUAAGCUAACACCAUAAGGGGUGGUAACCUCCUUUGUCAUCCAACUAUCACUCUCUUCAUAUUUUGCCUUUAUGACUGAGCCCCACAGAUUCUGAUUAUCAUUUGAGUACUUCCAAAGGCACUUCAUCCUCAAAGCUUUACUCUGGUUCUUCAUAUUCUUGAUCCCCAGACCCCCAACUCUCUUUUCAGUGAUCACAGUUUUCCAUUUGACUAAGUGAUAUCCUCUCCUUUCCUUGUUCCCUUGCCAUAAAAAUUUUCUCCUGAUGCUAUCCAACCUAUUGAUGAUUCCCGGUGGGAUAGGAAAUAAUGACAUCAUAUAUGUUGGAAGUGCAUCAAGCACAGAAUUAAUCAAAGUUAGUCUUCCCCCUAGUGGUCCCCAGACAGAGGUUACGAGUUUUUGACCACUGCAUAAGUAAGAGCAAGAUAUAGCAUGCUUCUACAGUUCUACUUUCCUGCCAGCAGAUUGGAGUCUUAACCUUUAACUAAUAAGAUUCUCUUUCUUGCAAUACAGCUUAGGAAAAUUCCAUAACAUGCCAGACAUCAAGCAAAUUCUAUCAAAAUAACAUUGAUUUUUAAUAUUAACCUGUUCCGCUAACAGAAUGAAGAAC